rnacentral:rRNA from 1 species
UACGGAGGGCGCAAGCGUUACUCGGAAUCACUGGGCGUAAAGAGCGUGUAGGCGGGUUUGUAAGUUGGGAGUGAAAUCCUAUGGCUCAACCAUAGAACUGCUUCCAAAACUGCUUACCUAGAAUGAGGGAGAGGUAGAUGGAAUUUCUGGUGUAGGGGUAAAAUCCGUAGAGAUCAGAAGGAAUACCGAUUGCGAAGGCGAUCUACUGGAACUUUAUUGACGCUGAGACGCGAAAAGCGUGGGGAGCAAACAGGAUUAGAUACCCGCGUAGU